rnacentral:rRNA from 1 species
GACGUAGGGCGCGAGCGUUGUCCGGAUUUAUUGGGCGUAAAGAGCUCGUAGGCGGCUUGUCGCGUCGAAUGUGAAAACCCACGGCUCAACUGUGGGCUUGCAUUCGAUACGGGCAGGCUAGAGUUCGGUAGGGGAGACUGGAAUUCCUGGUGUAGCGGUGAAAUGCGCAGAUAUCGGGAAGAACACCCGUGGCGAAGGCGGCUCUCUGGGACGGUACUGACGCUGAGACGCGAAAGCGUGGGGAGCGAACAGG